rnacentral:lncRNA from 1 species
AAGACCUAAUUAGAGGUAAUUUUUCUAAGUUUUUGUAAAUUAUUGAGGACUACAAAUCUUAAUUAGCUUCUCAGUAGGUUGUAAUUUUUUUUUUUUUUUUGAGAUGGAGUCUCGCUGUUGCCCAGGCUGGUCUUGAACUCCUGACCUCAGGUGAUCCACCCACCUUAGCCUCCCAAAGUGCUGGGAUUACAGGCCACUGUGCCCAGCCUCAGGGGAGUUGUAAUCUCCAUUUCAGUCAUAUCAAUUUAAACUUCACAAAGCUAAGAUUACUUUUCCUUUUCACAUCUGAGGAAAACUACAUCUCAGCAGACAGGUAAUUUGCCCGAGACUAAACAGCCAAGAGGUAAAUAGAGUAGCCCCUCUUUCUAGGUAAUCCACCCUGGCUCCACUGCCACCGGAAACUAAAAUCAGUAUCUCUGGGAUAGGCUACACUGUUACAAGGUAUUAGGUUAACCAAAUCCAAUUGCCAAUAUUCGACCUGACAGCUAGGCGUGGUCAGCCACUAGCCUCCCCAUAGAGCAAGGCUUACCUCAUGGCAGGCUCCUGGCUCCAAUACUCAGCUGCCAAACAUGAUGCUGAUUCUUCACGAAUUUGCAACCUAGGUGAAUAUAGCAAUUAGGUCACCGUUCAAACAAGUUUACUCCUGGGAACCAGCAAGUGGUGAAGACUUGACUGCAAUCAGACAGGAGUAGUCUUCGUCAGUUAUCGCUUCUGACGGCACUUCCUAUUAGUGAUUUCAUCAGAGCAGUCAAGCACCUCACAACCCUCCAGUACUGUUCCAACCGCAGAUCUAGACCCUACCUGAAACUUAAGCUAACCCUGCUACUGGAGACAUUUCUUAACGAAGGAGUUUGUUUCUGCAUUAUCAGUUUGCUUUAAAUGCAGUUCUAGGUUAGGACUGUGGCUGAAGCAGCCAUCUCCAGUUUCUAUUUAAGUUCCACCCUAUGCAAUGACAUGAUAACGUUACCCUAAAGUGUAUAAAACACCUAAACGUAGAAAACUGUCA